rnacentral:rRNA from 1 species
GGUUAAGUGAAUAAGGGCGCACGGUGGAUGCCUUGGCACUAGGAGCCGAUGAAGGACGGGACUAACACCGAUAUGCUUUGGGGAGCUGUAAGUAAGCUAUGAUCCAGAGAUUUCCGAAUGGGGGAACCCAAUAUCUUUUAUAGGAUAUUACUUUUCAGUGAAUACAUAGCUGAUUAGAGGUAGACGCAGAGAACUGAAACAUCUUAGUACCUGCAGGAAGAGAAAGAAAAUUCGAUUCCCUGAGUAGCGGCGAGCGAAACGGGAAGAGCCCAAACCAACAAGCUUGCUUGUUGGGGUUGUAGGACUCCGAUAUGGUAGUCUGUUAGUAUAGUUGAAGGAUUUGGAAAAUUCCGCUAAAGAGGGUGAAAGCCCCGUAGACGAAAUGCUGACAACACCUAGGAGGAUCCUGAGUACGGCGGAACACGAGAAAUUCCGUCGGAAUCCGCGGGGACCAUCCCGCAAGGCUAAAUACUACCUAGUGACCGAUAGUGAACCAGUACCGUGAGGGAAAGGUGAAAAGCACCCCGGAAGGGGAGUGAAAUAGAUCCUGAAACCGUGUGCCUACAACAAGUCAAAGCUCGUUAAUGAGUGAUGGCGUGCCUUUUGUAGAAUGAACCGGCGAGUUACGAUUGCAUGCGAGGUUAAGUCGAAGAGACGGAGCCGCAGCGAAAGCGAGUCUGAAUAGGGCGAAUGAGUAUGUAGUCGUAGACCCGAAACCAUGUGAUCUACCCAUGUCCAGGUUGAAGGUGCGGUAAAACGCACUGGAGGACCGAACCCACGUACGUUGAAAAGUGCGGGGAUGAGGUGUGGGUAGCGGAGAAAUUCCAAACGAACUUGGAGAUAGCUGGUUCUCUCCGAAAUAGCUUUAGGGCUAGCCUCGGAAUUGAGAAUGAUGGAGGUAGAGCACUGUUUGGACUAGGGGCCCAUCUCGGGUUACCGAAUUCAGAUAAACUCCGAAUGCCAUUCAUUUAUAUCCGGGAGUCAGACUGCGAGUGAUAAGAUCCGUAGUCGAAAGGGAAACAGCCCAGACCACCAGCUAAGGUCCCAAAAUAUAUGUUAAGUGGAAAAGGAUGUGGGGUUGCACAGACAACUAGGAUGUUGGCUUAGAAGCAGCCACCAUUUAAAGAGUGCGUAAUAGCUCACUAGUCGAGUGACCCUGCGCCGAAAAUGUACCGGGGCUAAACAUAUUACCGAAGCUGUGGACUACACCAUUAGGUGUAGUGG